GGGACCCUCAGAGCCUGCUUGGGUUGCUGCGCUGUGUUGCAAAAAGCAAAGCUGUCCUGGACCCAUGUUUUUCCAGCUGUGCAGACACACAGAGGAACCAGGGGCUUGUCGCUCUGCAGGACACAUUUUUCCCUGCUGUGAGGCAGAAACCACCAGCUCAGGGUGCACUGUGCAGCUUUCCAGACUGAGACUGAAGUGAGGAGGGAGCCCAGGGAAGAAGAGGCAUGGGAGAAAAAUUGCCAUAAUAACUCUGCAAUAAAGAUAUUAAUUAUAUUAUAUAUAUUAUA